rnacentral:rRNA from 1 species
UAACACGUGGGUAACCUGCCUUAUAGUGGGGGAUAGCCUUUCGAAAGGAAGAUUAAUACCGCAUAAGAUUGUAGUAUCGCAUGAUAUAGCAAUUAAAGGAGCAAUUCGCUAUAAGAUGGACCCGCGUCGCAUUAGCUAGUUGGUGAAGUAAUGGCUCACCAAGGCGACGAUGCGUAGCCGACCUGAGAGGGUGAACGGCCACAUUGGGACUGAGACACGGCCCAGACUCCUACGGGAGGCAGCAUG